UACGUAGGCAGCAAGCGUUGUUCGGAGUUACUGGGCGUAAGGGUGCGUAGGCGGCUUUUUAAGUUUGGUGUGAAAUCUCCCGGCUCAACUGGGAGGGUGCGCCGAAUACUGAGAGGCUAGAGUGUGGGAGAGGAAAGUGGAAUUCCUGGUGUAGCGGUGAAAUGCGUAGAUAUCAGGAGGAACACCGGUGGUGUAAACGGCUUUCUGGACCAUAACUGACGCUGAUGCACGAAAGCGUGGGUAGCAAACAGG
rnacentral:rRNA from 1 species